rnacentral:rRNA from 1 species
GACGAACGCUGGCGGCGUGCCUAAUACAUGCAAGUAGGACGCAGUUGCGAACGGGUGAGUAACGCGUAGGUAACUACCUAUUAGAGGGGGGUGACUAUUGGACACGAUAGCUAAUACCGCAUACUAGUAGAUGGACCUGCGUUGUAUUAGCUAGGAGGUAGGGGAAUGGCCUACCUAGGCAAAGAUACAUAGCCGAGCUGGGAGGGUGAUCCGCCACAAUGGGACUGGGACACGGGCCAGAAUCCUAAGGGGGGCAGCAGUAGGGAAACUUCGGCAAUGGGGGGAACGCUGACCGAGCAACGGCGCGGGAGUGAAGAAGGGUUUCGGAUCGUAAAGCUAUGUUGUUAAGGAAGCGGUACUUAACCAGAAAGGGACGGCUAACUACGUGCCAGCAGCCGCGGUAAUUC